rnacentral:rRNA from 1 species
UUUCCGGUUGAUCCCGCCGGACCUGACUGCUAUCGGAUUGAUACUAAGCCAUGCGAGUCUUUGUAGUAAUACAAGGCAGACGGCUCAGUAACGCGUAGUCAACCUACCCUAUGGACGGGAAUAAUCUCGGGAAACUGAGCAUAAUACCCGGCGUACCACCAUUCCUGGAAUGGUUGGUGGUUAAAAUGAUUCGUCGCCGUAGGAUGGGACUGCGACUUAUCAGCUUGUUGGUGAGGUAAAGGCCCACCAAGGCGAUUACAGGUACGGGCUCUGAGAGGAGAAGCCCGGAGAUGGGUACUGAGACACGGACCCAGGCCCUAUGGGGCGCAGCAGGCGAGAAAACUUUGCAAUGUGCGAAAGCACGACAAGGUUAAUCCGAGUGAUUUCUGCUAAAGGAAUCUUUUGCCAGUUCUAAAAAUACUAGUGAAUAAGGGGUGGGCAAGUUCUGGUGUCAGCCGCCGCGGUAAAACCAGCACCUCAAGUGGUCAGGAGGAUUAUUGGGCCUAAAGCAUCCGUAGCCUGCUCUGUAAGUUUUCGGUUAAAUCUAUAUGCUCAACGUAUAGGCUGCCGAAAAUACUGCAGUGCUAGGAAGUGGGAGAGGUAGACGGUACUUGAUAGGA